AGUGAACGCUGGCGGCAGGCCUAACACAUGCAAGUCGAACGGCAGCGCAGCAGUAGCAAUACUGUGGGCGGCGAGUGGCGGACGGGUGAGGAAUACAUCGGAAUCUACCUUGUCGUGGGGGAUAACGUAGGGAAACUUACGCUAAUACCGCAUACGACCCACGGGUGAAAGCGGCGGACCGCAAGGCGUCGCGCGAUUGGAUGAGCCGAUGUCCGAUUAGCUAGUUGGCGGGGUAAAGGCCAACCAAGGCGACGAUCGGUAGCUGGUCUGAGAGGAUGAUCAGCCACACUGGAACUGAGACACGGUCCUGACUCCUACGGGAGGCAGCAGUGGGGAAUUUUGGACAAUGGGGGCAACCCUGAUCCAGCAAUGCCGCGUGAGUGAAGAAGGCCUUCGGGUCGUAAAGCUCUUUUGUCAGGGAAGAAACACCGGCUCUAACACAGUCCGGGAAUGACGGUACCUGAAGAAUAAGCACCGGCUAACUACGUGCCAGCCGCCGCCGUAACAC
rnacentral:rRNA from 1 species